UGGGGAAUAUUGCACAAUGGAGGGAACUCUGAUGCAGCAACGCCGCGUGCGGGAUGACGGCCUUCGGGUUGUAAACCGCUUUCAGCCAUGACGAAGCUUUUGUGACGGUAGUGGUAGAAGAAGCACCGGCUAACUACGUGCCAGCAGCCGCGGUGAUACGUAGGGUGCGAGCGUUGUCCGGAAUUAUUGGGCGUAAAGAGCUUGUAGGCGGUUUGUCGCGUCGAUAGUGUAAACACGCAGCUUAACUGUGUGCCUGCUGUCGAUACGGGCUGACUAGAGGAGGGUAGGGGAGAAUGGAAUUCCCGGUGGAGCGGUGGAAUGCGCAGAUAUCGGGAGGAACACCAGUGGCGAAGGCGGUUCUCUGGACCUUUCCUGACGCUGAGAAGCGAAAGCGUGUGUAGCAAACAGG
rnacentral:rRNA from 1 species